rnacentral:rRNA from 1 species
CGUGUAGGCGGCCUCUUAAGUCUGGUGUGAAAGCCCGGGGCUUACCCCCGGAAGGGCACUGGAAACUGGGAGGCUGGAGUACCGGAGAGGAGGGUGGAAUUUCCUGGUGUAGCGGUGAAAUGCGUAGAUAUCAGGAGGAACACCGGUGGCGAAGGCGGCCCUCUGGACGGAUACUGACGCUGAGACGCGAAAGCGUGGGGAGCAAACAGGAUUAGAUACCCUGGUAGUCCACGCUGUAAACGAUGGGCACUAGGUGUUCGGGGUAUUGACCCCCUGAGUGCCGCAGCUAACGCAUUAAGUGCCCCGCCUGGGGACUACGGCCGCAAGGUUAAA